rnacentral:rRNA from 1 species
AGACUUUGAUCCUGGCUCAGAUUGAACGCUGGCGGAAUGCUUUACACAUGCAAGUCGGGCGGCAGCAUGGACUUCGGUCUGAUGGCGAGCGGCGAACGGGUGAGUAAUGUAUAGGAACAUACCCAGUAAUGGGGGAUAACGCCGAGAAAUCGGUGCUAAUACCGCAUACGCCCUGAGGGGGAAAGCGGGGGAUCUUCGGACCUCGCGUUAUUGGAUUGGCCUAUAUCUGAUUAGCUAGUUGGUGAGGUAAAGGCUCACCAAGGCUUCGAUCAGUAGCUGGUCUGAGAGGAUGAUCAGCCACACUGGAACUGAGACACGGUCCAGACUCCUACGGGAGGCAGCAGUGGGGAAUUUUGGACAAUGGGCGAAAGCCUGAUCCAGCCAUUCCGCGUGAGUGAAGAAGGCCUUCGGGUUGUAAAGCUCUUUCGUCAGGAAAGAAAUCAUUACUCCUAAUACGAGUGAUGGAUGACGGUACCUGAAGAAGAAGCACCGGCUAACUACGUGCCAGCAGCCGCGGUAAUACGUAGGGUGCGAGCGUUAAUCGGAAUUACUGGGCGUAAAGCGUGCGCAGGCGGAUCGUUAAGCAAGACGUGAAAUCCCCGGGCUUAACCUGGGAAUGGCAUUUUUGAACUGGCAGUCUAGAGUGCG